UUUAUGAAUAUGUCUAGUCGCGCCCCUAAUUAGAUGAAUAAAUUUAUAGAUUUUAAUGUAUUCUCAAUAUAAAUGUAUAUUUCUCUUAAAUUAAUUAUUCUACAUGGACUUUAUUAUUUAUUCACUUUUGUUGGGCUGAAAAUUUAAUAAAAGCCCAUAGCAAUUUUAUUUUCACCAAUUCAUUUUCACUAUUCUUAAUUUGAGAUAGCAACGUGUUUCCUUCCGUUUAGCCACAAUUUGAUUUACUACUCAAGCCACUUAUUUAUUUAACCUUGAAUAGCAUGUACUCUUAUUUAUUAAGUAACCAAAUUAUUAUAUAUCAAAGAUUUCAUAUUAUUUAUCUUCACUGUUCUUUUUUUUUUAAAUUCCUUUUCAAAAUGAAAAUGUGCAAAAAAUCCCAUUUAUCCAACCACAACCGCCAUACUCCUCUUUAUCCCCAUUUAUCACCGCCAUACAUUUUUAUACAUAUAUCAGAUUCAUUCACCUAUAGUAUAUCAUUUCAUCCUUUUUCUACAUCUACAUCUCUAAUUUGCAAAACGUAAACUUAUCCAGCAAGAAAAUCAAGUUCUUUCCUUCCACUGUAGAGGUGCGGCGCGACUAGGACGUUACUUUUGAUUGAAUUUCUCAAAUUUAGCUUUCAAGUUGAAAUUCAAGUUCAAGUUCAAAAUUCAGGUGUGGGAUUUAUUUCAGUACAUGCCCGUGGUUAAUUCUUGUCCAUUUUAAUAUCAUGUGUUUACCAUAUGUGAGUUGCAUUAAAUUAUAUCGCUAGGGGCCCGCUCAAUGGGUCCAGGACAUUAAAGUCCUUGGUAUGCCACAAUGCGAUUUCAUGUUAAAGUUAUGGUUGCAACCAGUCGCCAGGGGCCGGCUCAAUCGGUCCAGGACGGAAAGGUCCUUGGUAUGCCACAGUGCGACUUUCAGUUACGAAUGUAUUGAUCAUAUGUGAUUCUCAUUUUAUUAACGUGUGGGAUUUAUUACAGUACAUGCCCGUGGUUAAUUCUUGUCCAUUUUAAUAUCAUGUGUUUACCAUAUGUGAGUUGCAUUAAAUUAUAUCGCUAGGGGCCCGCUCAAUGGGUCCAGGACAUUAAAGUCCUUGGUAUGCCACAAUGCGAUUUCAUGUUACAGUUAUGGUUGCAACCAGUCGCCAGGGGCCGGCUCAAUCGGUCCAGGACAUUAAAGUCCUUGGUAUGCCACCGUGCGACUUUCAGUCACGAAUGUAUUGAUCAUAUGAGAUUCUCAUUUUAUUAACAUGGACAAUGAUUGCAUGUUUCCACACUGAGUGUACCCUGUAUGCUCAUCCCAUACUUAACAUUUUCAGGUUUUAAAGACCGGAGGCGCGUGGAAGGUCGAAUGGCGAAUCAAAUAUUUUGAAUUUAGUUUUACUUAAAAAUGUUAUGUUUAGUAAAGUAUUUUAAAACAAGAUAUUUAUUUCACUAUUUUCUCGUUAAAUAUUUAUUUAUAGUCAUGAUUUUCCGCGUGCGUUUUCUUUUAAAAUUAAAAUGGAUUUGGGUGUCACAAGGUGGUAUCAGAGCAGGUCUACUUUCCUGUAGACUCUGCAAAAUAAAAUUCCUUACUAAUUUUAAAAGUCAUGUGUGACAAAUCCAUUCGACCUCUACGUGCUCCGACAUCAAGGUAAAGAUAUUUCAAAUAUUUUUGAAGGGGGUGAGUAUAAAUUGUUUACGUUGAAAGUAUGUUGAAAUUUGCUGCAAUGAUUGAAGUUAUUAUCAGAAAGUUCAAGUUCAAAUUCAGUAUUCAAGUUAUUAUUUUGAAGAUUAUUGCAGCUAUGAAUUGUCAAAUUUCGAGGACGAAAUUUUUUUAAGUGGGUAGGUUUGUCACAGCCCAAAACCGUUUAGUUCCUUUGCAAUUUUUAUUUGAAAAUUAGUAUAUUUUUGAGUUAUUAUUAUAUAUAUAUAUAUCUAUGAGUCGAAUUUAUGAAUAUGUCUAGUCGCGCCCCUAAUUAGAUGAAUAAAUUUAUAGAUUUUAAUGUAUUCUCAAUAUAAAUGUAUAUUUCUCUUAAAUUAAUUAUUCUACAUGGACUUUAUUAUUUAUUCACUUUUGUUGGGCUGAAAAUUUAAUAAAAGCCCAUAGCAAUUUUAUUUUCACCAAUUCAUUUUCACUAUUCUUAAUUUGAGAUAGCAACGUGUUUCCUUCCGUUUAGCCACAAUUUGAUUUACUACUCAAGCCACUUAUUUAUUUAACCUUGAAUAGCAUGUACUCUUAUUUAUUAAGUAACCAAAUUAUUAUAUAUCAAAGAUUUCAUAUUAUUUAUCUUCACUGUUCUUUUUUUUUUAAAUUCCUUUUCAAAAUGAAAAUGUGCAAAAAAUCCCAUUUAUCCAACCACAACCGCCAUACUCCUCUUUAUCCCCAUUUAUCACCGCCAUACAUUUUUAUACAUAUAUCAGAUUCAUUCACCUAUAGUAUAUCAUUUCAUCCUUUUUCUACAUCUACAUCUCUAAUUUGCAAAACGUAAACUUAUCCAGCAAGAAAAUCAAGUUCUUUCCUUCCACUGUAGAGGUGUGGCGCGACUAGGACAUGGAUUUUAGUUUGAAUUAUCAGAAUUAACUUUCAAGUUCAAGUUCAAGUUCAAAAUUCAGGUUUUAAAGACCGGAGGCGCGUGGAAGGUCGAAUGGCGAAUCAAAUAUUUUGAAUUUAGUUUUACUUAAAAAUGUUAUGUUUAGUAAAGUAUUUU